UACGGAGGGUGCGAGCGUUAAUCGGAAUUACUGGGCGUAAAGGGUGCGUAGGUGGUUAAUUAAGUUAUCUGUGAAAUACCUGGGCUUAACCUAGGGCGGUCAGAUAAGACUGGUUAACUCGAGUAUAGGAGAGGGUAGUGGAAUUUCCGGUGUAGCGGUGAAAUGCGUAGAGAUCGGAAGGAACACCAGUGGCGAAGGCGGCUACCUGGCCAGAUACUGACACUGAGGCACGAAAGCGUGGGGAGCAAACAGG
rnacentral:rRNA from 1 species